AUGCUUAUUGAUUUGGAAAUAGAUAUUGUGAAGGUCUCAGAGGUUUACAGAAAAGAAAAUAUCUAAGAGAUUUCAGCCUAGGAUAUGCUGGAGUGUUGUGAUACGAGGAUGGACGUUCACAUGGAGUAAGUCAGUCACUGUACUAGACAGCAGAUGCAAACAAAAUGUUUAACUUGGCCUUUCUGGUCUUCACCUCUCUUGGGACUGCUCAGGAACCAUUGGGGGUGUGGUGAUGCUUAGCAGGUACUCUGACAUCAUAUCUUCUGCCAUGUAGAAGAAUUCUGUGUAUAAACGGACUCAAAAAUAACUACAAUUAUUGUAAUACCUGAAUUAUUUAGUGCUCAAAGAAUUUCAAGAGAGACAAAGAAAGAGGCAGAAAGAACCAUGGCAUACCUGAGUUGAAAGGACCUGGGACAUCUAAAAAACAAUGAAGGAAUGAAAAUAAACCUGCUACAC
rnacentral:lncRNA from 1 species